GUCUACGGCCAUGCCACCCUGAACAAGCCCGAUCCCGUCUGAUCUCGGAAGCUAAGCAGGGUCGGGCCUGGUUAGUACUUGGAUGAGAGACCAUCUAGGAAGACGAGGUGCUGUAGGCG
rnacentral:rRNA from 1 species